CCGUACAUGAUAUGGACUACCAGGACAAUGUGAUACAGUCUCUAAGAGUCGAGUUGUUUGGGAAUGCAGCUCAAAGUGGGUGGUAAAUUCCAUCUAAGGCUAAAUAUAGGUGAGAGACCGAUAGCAAACAAGUACCGUGAGGGAAAGAUGAAAAGAACUUUGGAAAGAGAGUUAACAGUACGUGAAAUUGUUAAAAGGGAAACAUUUGAAGUUACACUUGUUAUUGUUGGUUCAGCUCUUUUUUUAAGGGUGUAUUCCAAUGGUUAACAGACCAGCAUCAAUUUUUGGGUGUUAGAUAAGGGUCUUGAGAAUGUAGCAACCUCGGUUGUGUUAUAGAUCUUGACUUGAUAUAAUGCUUAGGAUUGAGGAACGCAGUGAGCUCUUUUUGAAGUGAUGUUUUUUUUAAAUGUC
rnacentral:rRNA from 1 species